GGGCAUUUGGCACAGUGGUAGCGCGCACGCUUCGCAUAGGAGUUCUCCAUAUGGCCUUGCGUGAGGACCAGGGUUCAAUCCCCUGAAUGUCCA